rnacentral:sRNA from 1 species
GCUAUUAAGACAUGUUUGUCUUCAAAGAAUGGCCUUGGUUUCUGUGAGCAGUUUCUCCUCAUGGAAAGCAGCCUUUGUCACUUCAAACACUGCAAGUGUUCUUUAAAAAGAAUUAUAUCAACCUUUCAAUUAAAAUGCAACAUGUCUGAAACUUGGUAUCUGGAGAGUAAUUUGUUUCCACACUGCAGAGUGGGUAAUAAGCA